AACAAACGGCCCCUGGACCAAACCCGGCCCACCUAAGGGUCAGAUCCGGCCCAUGGGAUGAAUUUGCGAAAUACAAAAAUUACACCAAUAUGUUAACAUUU